AAUGAUUUUCCUUCAGGUUGUGCAAGCAGGAAAGUUUAAAAUCACAUAAGAAUGACUUGAGGGAGAAAAACACCCCUUUCUGCUCCCGAUAAACACAAUCAGCUUUGCUGGUCUGGGUUUUUUAAAUGAUCUGCAUUUACAGAAGUAUCCAUGACCCAGAGAGAGUAUCAGUGUCAAGAAUCUGCCAGUGGGAAAGUGAUUUGAAGCAGCUCUGGAGUUCAAAUGGCCACGGGUGCGAGUGCCUGCUCUGGUGUGCUUUGCCUCUGGAAAGAGGCCAAGUCUUUGAGAAUCUUUGCUGCAUCAGCCAUGCUACAUCCUGAGGACUUGGAGCUUUUCCCAGGUGAGGCCAUUAAUGCCUCCACCCAUAGGCUUAACCCUGCCCUGUUUCUGAGCCAACUCUAAAGUGAGUAACAUUGAAAGCCAUAUGAUGAGAGUAGUGUCACGAGAUAGAAGAAAAUGGGAUCUCUAAGUCACUGGAUGUAGAAGGAUUCCCACUGACUUGACUUUGGUGAGUUCCCCGAGCCAAGCACUCCGCAGCUCCAUCGCAGCGUGGGCCUCUUGGAAAUUCGGUGCUAGUUCUCAAGGCCUCCUACCUGCUGAGCCUUAGUCUUCAUUCCUGAAAUAAGAGCUGUCCUGCAAACAGCGUUUGGCGCUCACUUCCUGGCCUCCGGCUGGUGGAGCAAGGACGUUUCCAGCACAUAAGAUUCCCCACUCUGUUAAAAAAAAAAAAAAUGUGUUUAUACUUGGUCCCCUCUGAAGGCGGACGACGCCCAUACUUUUGUCCCAGCCCAAUUUGUUGGCUGGGUUUUUUCUCAUCCUUUAAAUCCCGAGAAGCAAGGAACCUGCCCUCUGGCGCCAUCUACCGGCACUGUUUUUCGAGUCCAAGGAGCCCCCUGCGGAGUUGGGAUGUGUUUAGUAAUUGAUUGGAUGAAUUCUGCCACUUCGUUAGUAGAUUCUUUUUUUCUUCACGGACUAGAAGGUGACCAAUUAGUAAAGAGAUUAUAUAGCAAAUAUAUUAUCUUACUUUAAAGAGACCAGAGUCUCCUAUCUCUCGCUUUCCCCACCCCAUCAGUUGUGGCAUUCCUUCAUCUUUAAUUUCUUCCUUCGAAAAAUAUUUAUUCUGUUAUUGUAUAGAGAUCAGGGCAUGGGGCACACAGCUGCACACCUGAGCAAACAGAGGGGCUGACUGAUUUGCUGUUGUAAUGAAAAACAUUAGUUUUGGGUUCAUUUCUGUGAUUCCACAAUGGGCACCAAAUCCCACUUAAGACCCACCGAAGAAGUCUUCAAAGGGACACGGUUUCAGGUCUGUGCCUGGUGAGCGCGCUGCCUCUUCGAAUCUUUGCACAGAAAUAACCUACGGUUGGAGACUCAGACCUGUCAGAUCAAAACCAGGCCUGGCCUCCAGACCUUGAAACAAGUCAAAACAGUGAACCUUACUCAUCCAUUUUCAAAAUAUGGCCUGUUUUCUUUACAAAAUGCAGCAAAGCCUCUCAGAUGGGCGCUGGCUGCAAUAUUUGAUAUAUUAGGGAGAAUCCUGACUCCUUCCAGGUUUCUGCCCAUCUGUUUUACAUCCAAAUGGCUUGGCAGAGGAUGGUUUUUAGUUAUGUAUUUUUUUCAUUUCAAAUGGAAUUUAAAACAGCAGGGGCAGAAAGCCCAGAUAUGGAUGAGAGAGAAAAUAAAAAGGACCCUGGAAUUCCCCAUUCACCUUCUACAUGAAGGAAAAAAUAUCGGCAUUUGUUGUAAACCUACUAUGUGUCAAGGUAUCACUAGGGAGUGUGAUGUUGCUGAGCCAUUGGAAUUUUAUAAAAUUUUGAAUGUUUUUCAUUUUCUUCUUCAGAGGUGGUUUGAUUUCAUGAUCAAGAGCUUGAACUUAAAGUCAAAUCCUGCUCCUGCCUCCUGCAGUCGUGGGGCCUUAGCUAUUCUCUGUAAUGACUCUAGGUCUCAGUUUCCUUGCCUGAGAACAGGACUGUGAUAAUUACCUUGGCGGGCUAUUGUCAGUUUUAAAUAAGGUAGUGCGGAGGCAACUACCACAGGAAUGGUUCUGCCUUAAGAAUGAA
rnacentral:lncRNA from 1 species